rnacentral:tRNA from 1 species
GGGGAUGUAGCUCAUAUGGUAGAACGCUCGCUUUGCAUGUGAGAGGGUGGGGAUCAAUAUCCUGCAUUUCCA